UCCGGCCAUAUCACGUUGAAACAUUGGUUCCCGUACGAACACCGAUGUAAAGCAACAUCCAGCCUGAUAAGUAUCUAGAUGGAUGGACUCUUGGGAAUACUAGGCGA